GCGAAGGUGGCGGAAUUGGUAGACGCGCUAGCUUCAGGUGUUAGUGUCCUUACGGACGUGGGGGUUCAAGUCCCCCCCCUCGCACC
rnacentral:tRNA from 5 species